rnacentral:rRNA from 1 species
CUUUCUUAGAUAAGCCAUGCACGUCUAGUACAAACUAAAUGAUGGUGAAACUGCAAAUGGCUCAUUACAACGGUUAUGAUGUACCCGGGAGUUCCGAUGGAUAUUUCCAGUAACACUAGAACUAAUACAUGUCCCUGCGUUUAUUAGUUUCGCACAGUCCGUCGCUGAGUCAUGGUAAACAGUUGAUCGACUCGACGUCCCGGAACAGUUUCCGCCCCAUCAGCUUCGAUGGUUGGGUAUUGGCCUACCAUUGCAACAACGGGUAACGAGGAAUUAGGGUUUGAUUUCGGAGAGGGAGCCUGAGAAACGGCUACCACAUCUACGGAUGGCAGCAGGCGCGCAAAUUACCCAAUGCAGACACUGUGAGGUAGUGACGAGAAAUAAUAAAGCGGGACUUCUGUUUCGCUAUUAUAAUGAGGAAUAACCAAAGGUCAUUCCGAUUAGCAACUGAUGGGAAAGUCUGGUGCCAGCAGCCGCGGUAAUACCAGCGUCAGUAGCAU